AGUGAACGCUGGCGGUAGGCCUAACACAUGCAAGUCGAACGGCAGCACAGUAAGAGCUUGCUCUUACGGGUGGCGAGUGGCGGACGGGUGAGGAAUACAUCGGAAUCUACUUUUUCGUGGGGGAUAACGUGGGGAAACCUACGCUAAUACCGCAUACGACCUACGGGUGAAAGCAGGGGAUCUUCGGACCUUGCGCGAUUGAAUGAGCCGAUGUCGGAUUAGCUAGUUGGCGGGGUAAAGGCCCACCAAGGCGACGAUCCGUAGCUGGUCUGAGAGGAUGAUCAGCCACACUGGAACUGAGACACGGUCCAGACUCCUACGGGAGGCAGCAGUGGGGAAUAUUGGACAAAGGGCGCAAGCCUGAUCCAGCCAUACCGCGUGGGUGAAGAAGGCCUUCGGGUUGUAAAGCCCUUUUGUUGGGAAAGAAAAGCAGCAGGUUAAUACCCCGCUGUUCUGACGGUACCCAAAGAAUAAGCACCGGCUAACUUCGUG
rnacentral:rRNA from 1 species